CUGAAACCUACCGUCAUGGUGGCAGGGAGUUCUCUGGGAUAACUGUGUGUUGUAUGGAAAAGUUUUCUCACAGGUCUGGAUGGGGCCAAAAUACCAUUAACGCUUCUACCUGGGGAGACUUGGAUGGCACCUGUGUUCUCUUUUGCUCUUGCUAGCUCAACAGUGCAACUUAAAUUAAAAGCAAAAGCAGGUCCCCUUCACAACUGAUGAAACUGCCAUUCAGCUCCCCUGGAUACACGGUUGCCAGGAUCCAUCCAAAUGAUCAGCGUUUCUGCUACGGCUGAUGACCACAAAUCCCCUACCAUCGUCUGGGUCGCCAUUAAUGCCUAUUCCCGGGUUGGAGCCCAGAGCACAUGAAUUC